GGGGUGGUGGCGCAGUUGGUUAGCGCGUAGGUCUCAUAGCUAAAUGUUGAGGAAUCCUGAGGUCGAGAGUUCGAGCCUCUCUCACCCCA
rnacentral:tRNA from 1 species